rnacentral:rRNA from 1 species
AUUAAACGCUGGCGGCAUGCCUUACACAUGCAAGUCGAACGGUAGCGCGGGGCAACCUGGCGACGAGUGGCGAACGGGUGAGUAAAGCAUCGGAACGUGCCCUGGAAUGGGGGAUAACGUAGCGAAAGUUACGCUAAUACCGCAUAUUCUGUGAGCAGGAAAGCAGGGGAUCGCAAGACCUUGCGUUCUGGGAGCGGCCGAUGUCGGAUUAGCUAGUUGGUGGGGUAAAAGCCUACCAAGGCGACGAUCCGUAGCGGGUCUGAGAGGAUGAUCCGCCACACUGGGACUGAGACACGGCCCAGACUCCUACGGGAGGCAGCAGUGGGGAAUUUUUGGACAAUGGGCGGAAGCCUGAUCCAGCCAUGCCGCGUGAGUGAAGAAGGCCUCGGUUGUAAG